GUAUGAACGCUAGCUACAGGCUUAACACAUGCAAGUCGAGGGCAGCAUGAGCUCAGUUAUUCUGGGGUUUGAGUGGCGACCGGCGCACGGGUGAGUAACGCGUAUCCAACCUGCCCUUUACGCGGGGAUAGCCUUCUGAAAGGAAGUUUUAAUACCCGAUGAAUUCGUUUAGUCGCAUGGCUUGAUGAAGAAAGAUUUAUCAGUAAAGGAUGGGGAUGCGUCCCAUUAGCUUGUUGGCGGGGUAACGGCCCACCAAGGCGACGAUGGUAGGGGUUCUGAGAGGAAGGUCCCCCACAUUGGAACUGAGACACGGUCCAAACUCCUACGGGAGGCAGCAGUGAGGAAUAUUGGUCAAUGGGCGAGAGCCUGAACCAGCCAAGUAGCGUGAAGGAUGACUGCCCUAUGGGUUGUAAACUUCUUUUAUAAAGGAAUAAAGUCGGGUAUGUAUACCCGUUUGCAUGUACUUUAUGAAUAAGGAUCGGCUAACUCCGUG
rnacentral:rRNA from 1 species